GAUGAACGCUGGCGGCGUGCUUCACACAUGCAAGUCGAAGGGAGUGGCGAACGGGUGAGUAACACGUGAGUAACCUGUCCUUUUCUUUGGGAUAAGCAUUCGAAAGGGUGUUUAAUACCUUAUGGAUUUGGGUGGGCUCGCGGUCUAUCAGCUUGUUGGUGGGGUGAUGGCUUCCCAAGGCUUUGACGGGUAGCCGGCCUGAGAGGGUGGUGGGUCACAUUGGGACUGAAAUACGGCCCAGACUCCUGCUGUAGGCAGCAGUGGGGGAUAUUGCACAAUGGGCGAAAGCCUGAUGCAGCGACGCCGCGUGGGGGAUGAAGGCCUUCGUGUUGUAAGCUUCUUUUGCUCUGAACGUGUAGGGGUUGAUUAGCGCCGGCUAACUACGUGCUAGCAGCCGCGGUAAUAC
rnacentral:rRNA from 1 species